rnacentral:miRNA from 10 species
CGGUCAAUGUGGGAUGUCGUA